UGCACCUUUCUAGCUGGUUUGCCAACAACCAAUAAAUCCAUAGAAGAAAACGACGAGAGCCCGAUUGAUUGAAGUUGUCAAGGCAAAGUAAAUUUGGGAACCAAAAACGAAUAAAGAUGUCAAGACAACUGCUUUUUGGAUAUUCUUAAAUGAAGGUCUGUUUUUCUGAACUACAAAGAGAUCAAGGUUUACACCUUCAGUGAAGACAUUCACAAAUAAAUUCAGGAAAAAUUCUUCCAAAUUCAUCCAAAUGUAGAAUUAACACCAAUAUCUACAAUCAUUAAUCAUUAAAGAGGAGAGCAAUACUGAGAAACAAAGAGAUUUACUCUUGAUUCUUUAUUAAUAACCGAGUUUUUUCAGAUUUCUUUUCAAAAGAAAGCAAAGAGCAGAAGCCAGCAAAUCAUUGUGGAAAAGGAAUUGAAAGACGACGACACAUUGUGGUGCACAUGGAAACUCACACUGUAGAGCGCCCAUAUCCAUGUCCUCAGUGUGAAAAGAGUUUUACUCAAAAAAUUAACCUUAAAAUCCACAUGGGAAUUCACACUGGAGAGUGUCCAUACCCAUGUCCCCAGUGUGAAAAGAGUUUCAUGUCAAAAGCAUGUCUUAUGAGGCACAUGAGAAUUCACACAGGAGAGUGCCCAUACACGUGUCCUCAGUGUAAAAAGAGUUUCAACCAGAACGCAAAUCUUAUGAGGCACAUGAGAAUUCACACUGGGGAGCGCCCACACGUGUGUCCUCAGUGUGAAAAGAGUUUCAUGACGAAAUCAGGUCUUCUGAGGCAUUUGAGUGUUCACACUGGAGAGCGCCCAUCCAAAUGUUUUAGUGUGGAAAGAGCUUAAUAAGUAUGUUAAUUUGAAUUCUUUUCCUGAACUCUGAAAUGGCUUCAGUAUGGACUGCAUGCCCCCUAUGGGCGGAGUCUAAAACCAAAUAGAAAAAGAAACAUUGUCGCUUUCCUCCUCCUUUCCGACGUGGCAUUCUGAAAAGUUGGAAGGAUUUUCAACUGCAUGUGGCCCUGCCGCGCCUGGAAAAAAGAGCAUGUCCCCCUUUUUUAUUUAGCUCAUUUGCAUUUUUAAGGACACACCCAAAACGGCACAUUUUUGCUCACUCCUACAAAGUGGCAAUUUUAACAUGUUAUAAUAAAUAAUCUAUAUGAUAUUUUGAGCUAGAACUUUACAUACGUACUGGGGACACCAAAGAUUUAUUUUACAUCUGAAAAAAGUCUUGUGAAAUGUCCCCUUUAAACAGCCCGUAUAAAUGCACAAAUUACUUGCCAGCAUAUUCCGGUCCGUACGCUGCCAACUUUGUCAAAAGGUCACAUCAGCAACAUGCUGUAAACUUCACACUUUUGGGGGAUGCAUGAACCGACUUGAAACAGGCCUGGCUCUGGCCCUUUGAUGUUGACAUCAAGAGACCAGACCCCUGCUGUCCAAACUUAAUAGCUAUUUUGCUAUCCAAGUAUCUGAUAUGAUCCAGUUAUGGCACUGCCAUACAACAGUGGCACGUUUUUGCAGACCAGGCUUAAUCUUAGUCCCAGACAGUAAUGCAUGGUUGAUCUGUCUUAUGUAUUUUAAAAUAUAUCAGUGCCACUUGCCUUAAGAAGCACACCAGUAAUGUUUUUGUCUAAAGGGGGUCGCAUGCCAAACGAGAAGCCCAGCGUUGCGUCUAGGACGACUCUGAGGUAUCAUACACCAGAAGUGCACAUUAAAUAGUGCGAGCUUAGUCAGAUAGCGUCUACUUCAAAAUGCAAAAUAUACAUUGGCUGCUAGUGUUAUCGCUAACGAUUUGGGAAAAAUAUGAUGUUAUUUAAAGGAAUAGUCUAUCCAUUUUUUAUAUUAAACUAUGUUAUUACCUUAACUUAGAAGAGUUGAUAUAUACCUCUAUCAUCUUAGUGCAUGCAUGUAAGCGCUGGGGCGCGCUGCGACACUUCGAUAGCAUUUAGCUUAGCCCCAUUCAUUCAAUGGUACCAAACAGAGAUAAAGUUAGAAGUGACCAAACACAUCAAUGUUUUUCCUAUUUAAGACGAGUAGUUAUACGAGCAAGUAUUGUGGCACAAAAUAAAACGUAGCGUUUUUCUAAGCGGAUUUUAAAGGGUAACUAUAUUGUAUGGCGGAAUAGCAC